rnacentral:rRNA from 1 species
GACAGAGGGGGCAAGCGUUGCUCGGAAUUACUGGGCGUAAAGGGCGCGUAGGCGGGAUGGCAAGUCGGUCGUGAAAUCCUUCGGCUCAACCGAAGAACGUUGAUCGAUACUGCUGUUCUUGAGGGUUGCAGAGGAGACUGGAAUUCCCGGUGUAGCGGUGAAAUGUGUAGAGAUCGGGAGGAACACCGGUGGCGAAGGCGGGUCUCUGGGCAAUUCCUGACGCUGAGGCGCGAAAGCGUGGGGAGCAAACGGG